UCUGCCCGGAGUGCCCACAGCCCUACAAACCGCUGAGGCCCUGUUUACCCAUGUCUUCCGGCAUUAUGGCAUCCCGGAGGACAUAGUGUCUGACCGUGGACCCCAGUUCACUUCACGAGUUUGGAGGGCCUUUAUGGAGAAGCUGGGGGUCACGGUAAGCCUUACCUCCGGGUUCCAUCCUGAGGCCAACGGACAGGUGGAGCGGGUGAACCAAGAGGUAGGCAGGUUCUUACGUUCCUAUUGCCAGGACCGGCCGGGGGAAUGGUCGGACUGUUUGCCAUGGGCAGAAUAUGCUCAAAAUUCUCUCUGCCAUUCCUCCACCCAACUGACUCCUUUCCAAUGUGUUCUAGGGUACCAGCCGGUCCUGGCCCCUUGGCAUCCGAGCCAGACCCAGGCCCCCGCGGUGGACGACUGGUUCCGUCGAGCCGAGGCAAUGUGGACCGUCGCACAUGUGCGUCUACAGCGUGCUGUGCGUCGCCACAAACACCAGGCUGACCGCCGGCUGGGGCCCACUCCCGUUUUCCAGCCGGGUGAUCGGGUCUGGCUCUCCACUCGUAACCUGCCCCUCCACCUGCCCUGCCGGAAACUGGCAUCGCGGCCGGUGGUAGAAGGCCCUCUCCAGGAGGCCGGGGUGCAGGAGACCCCCCCCCUUCCUCUGGAGAUCGAGGGCGAGCCUGCCUACACAGUCCGUGCCAUCCUUGAUUCGAGGAGGCGGCGGGGUGGCCUCCAGUACCUCGUGGACUGGGAGGGGUACGGCCCCGAGGAGCAGUGCUGGGUUCCGGCCAGGGAGAAAAUCUCCUGCGUGAUUUCCAUCUGCGCCGGCUGGAUCGCCCAGCGCCGCGUCCUCUGGGAUGUCCCCUGGGCAGUGGGAGCCGCGCCGGAGGACCUGCACGUCAGAGGGGGGGUACUGUGAUGGUUUCUAGGUCUGGGGCGCCCUCUACUGACGUACGGGGGAUCCGCCGGUCUGUUCUCCACAGCUCCCUGCCAGCGCUAAUCACUGAUGAAAAUCACCUGUGUUUUCACAGAUGUAAUGGCUGGCAGCAGUCCAGGACGCUGUGGGUUAUUGAUCGCUGUGUAUGACCUAUCGACAGCAGACGGAAACUCUACGUCCUCUCUGUCGUUGGUUUUGUGGACUCAUUUAUGCUGUGCAUUGAUAUUUAAGUUGAUCGCAAACGGACCUGAGAAUAAGACACCAAUAGCAAGGUUAGGGUGAUCUGGGCAUUUCCUUUUGUUCUGGUUUCCACGGCAUUGUCAGUGUUUGCAAUUCGUUUAGUUGAGAAAUAAAGGAACUAAAUGCACCCUUCUGCAUUCGACUCCUUCAACCUCUACCAUCACAAUUACACACAUGCCAUCAUUUAAAGUGACUCUGAU
ensembl:lncRNA